AAGGAGGACUCAAGGUAAUGUUUCUGUCACAUACCCACACCAGAGCAUGUCAGUCUUUUUGAGGAUUGAACAGAGUCUCCAUAGCAGACAGGACAUUAAAUUCGGUGACCGUGCUAUGAAAAUAUGCAAAGAUAAUGAAAGUUGAGCUAAGACCAGUCUGAAAGCUACAGUUACAGAGAGAGAGAGAAGAAGUAGAAGAAGAAAAGAAGAAGAAGAAGAAGAAGAAGAAGAAGAAGAAGAAGAAGAAGAAGAAGAAGAAGAAGAAGAAGAAGAAGAAGAAGAAAAGUUGGAUGGGUGGAGAGGAUCUAGGAAAUGGAGAAAGUGAAACCACAAUCAGAGUACAUUAUAUGAAUUUUCAGUAAGAAAUUAAGUGCUUUGACUUUAAAUAUAAAAUAACUACAAACAAAACAAACUAUGCUUCCCAGUUCUGCCCCCACCUCCCAGACUGUGCACCAUUUUGCAUCCUUGACUUGUUCUUCGGAAGAAGAAAGUGGUGGUAUAGGGAAAUGUAAAACCACCACAUCUCAAAUUUAGGAGUUAUUUCCCCAUAAUAUUAAACAGAACCCAGUGAGUUUAUAAUAAACACAUCAUAGGCAGGGAAAGCCUGAAUCCUUACAAGUUCCUGUGUCUAUGCACACAUUUUCACAUGAAAUUUGUCAAAUGUAGCUCCAACUUCACCUAGAACAAUUGCAUUGUCUUUAUUCAAUGGCAUUCACUGUCCAGUUACUUUGCUAGCCUUGAGUUAUUAAAGUCAACUUUUAUGCUUUCCAAUCCAUGCUAGGUACCACUCAAAUAUGUAACCCCAUUUGCCUGUUUUGAGUGUCUAAUGGUGCCAGUUUAAGAAUUAGCACUUCCCAUUUUAUCAUAUUUUAGUUCACAUGAUCUUGUAGGGUUUUUCUUCACCAAGCCAAUCCUUUAUGUUAAUAAAAUCACAAUUAGAAGAAAUUCAGAAUU
rnacentral:lncRNA from 1 species